GGACUUGAGGGUGAUCUGGCUGCAACAUCUGUCACCUGAUUGAUUGCCAACGUUGAUGUAGCUGAUUCAGCUGGCUAGGCGGUUUUCACUUCCUCCCUCCUCACCACUCCUGAAGCUGUACACACUCAAAGAGGACAACCUCCCCAGUAGAGGAGGGCUGUUCCUCAGGCAAGGGUAUAUGAGUAGCUAGGGUCCCCUGCUAGAACCUCCAAACACAUGCUCAAGGUCCAUUUGUAGGAGAACGUAGGGUAAUCAAACUUCCAAGUCUCCAGACACAUCCAGACGAGGCACUGCAUGUGGCAGUCUGCCUUUA
rnacentral:snRNA from 1 species